rnacentral:rRNA from 1 species
AUGCUACACUCUACCGCAGCAUCAUCGGGAGCCUCAGGUACCUCAUGCCGACCGGACAUCAGGUUCGUUGUCGGGUACCUGAGUAGGUUCAUGGAAGCUCCGGCAAGUGAUCACCUGGCUGCCGUCAAGCACCUACUCCGGUACAUCGCGGGUACGCUCACGCAUGGAUGCGUGUAUCGUCGUGGCGACGGCGAGAGCUUGGUCGGGUACAGCGACUUUGACCACGCUAGUGAUGUGGACUCCCGGAAGAGCACCUCGGGCAUACUAUUCCUUCUCGGAAAUAGUCCCGUCAGCUGGCAAUCGGUGAGGCAGAAGGUUGUCGCUGUAUCUUUGUGCGAGGCAGUGUACAUCGCGGCAGCUACAGCGGCAUAUCAGGGGAUUUGGCUUGCUCGCCUUCUCGGUGAGAUGUUGAAUCAGGACACCGCCCCUGCGCUCAUCUUCAUCGUCAACAAGUCAGCGAUUUCCCUCUGCAAGAAUCCAGUGCUUCACGACCGUAGCAAGCACAUCGAUCUCCACUAUCACUUCAUACGUGACUGCGUCGAGAAAGGCACAAUGAUAGUGGAGUUCAUCCGGACUGGUGAGCAGAAGGCAGACAUCCUGACCAAGUCACUUGGUCGUGUCCGGUUCCAGGAGCUGCGCGACAAGGUCAGGAUCAUCAACACCAAGCUCCUUCGACAAGUUUGA